rnacentral:rRNA from 1 species
UCGCGAAUAAGCCACGGCUAACUACGUGCCAGCAGCCGCGGUAAUACGUAGGUGGCGAGCGUUGUCCGGAUUUAUUGGGCGUAAAGAGCCCCGCAGGCGGCUUGGCAAGUUUCGAGUGAAAAUCUCCCCGGCUCAAACUGGGAGGGCGCUCGGAAAACUGCCAGGCUUGAGGCAGGGAGAGGGAUGUGGAAUUCCCGGUGUAGUGGUGAAAUGCGUAGAUAUCGGGAGGAACACCAGUGGCGAAGGCGGCAUCCUGGCCCUGUCCUGACGCUCAGGGGCGAAAGCGUGGGGAGCUAAACCGGUAUUAGAUACCCGGGUAGUCCACGGCCGUAAACGAUGAGUACUAGGUGUAGGGGUUAUCGUACCCCCUCUCGUGCCGAAGCUAACGCGUAUAAGUACUCCGCCUGGGGAC